AGGGAUGACUUCAGUCCCUUUCUUAACUAAUCCUGUCACUGUAAAAUCCUACAGUCAUUCUUCCACACAUAAAGGGAAAACGGACUCGCUAGGAGGACCUAGACUCUUUCAGCUUGAACUGUUAACCAAUGGUGGAAAUGCAAGAAUGCUGAAGUUGUGCCUUCGGAGCCAAUAGAGUGGAUUUGUGUGUCCCACAUGACUGUGUUUCCCCUGGCUUUCACAUGGGCAGUAUUUAGUUCAAUUCAGAACUGCAGAUAGUAUAGCAUGCAGAGCAGCAAUGGGAUGUCUGAGCACAAGUGGCUGACUUCCAGGCGACUUCAGGAAGCACAUUUGUACAUUUCUCCUGAAUUAAAGCGGGAUUCUGCACCCCUGACAUCCUCCGACUCUCCUUGUCUCUGCAGAAGGAGACAACGACCUGCACAGCACAAAACUACAAAUCACCACAGAGCUGCAGACCAGCAAAUGAAGUGAACUGAGAGCAAUUUGACCAACAUCAUCUGUGCCUGUUCCUCAGAAGUCGAUGAAACAUGUUAUCGGGUCUCCAAGUUUUCAUUUCAGGCUUUUUGUGUAUUUUGUGCCAAACCCAUAAGCCUUCUUCAGAGGAAUCAACAGAACAGAGUAGAGACUGAAUCAAACAGACAAGCUCUUAAAUAUCUCAACACGUCUUCUUUUCACAAGAACAAGACCCCAGUUUGCAUUUUACAGAAGACCAAAAACCUCAGAAGAUGCAUCACUCUGUGGAAGAAACACAUGGGGCCAAGCUAUUAUGUCAGUAUUGCACAAAGCACGGCACAGUUUGGUGUUCUUCCUACUCUGAAGGAGUCUCACAUCAGAGGCGUAGUGGCAACAAGUGCAAGAAAAAUUACUGACUUCUCUUCAGUCACACUAUUGUACAGCAGGGAAAUGACCACUUGCAACCUUGAUCCAUGCUAGGUAAAUCAAGCCAGAUAAACAUCCAGGUGCCAGCUGGUGUAAACACAGAUGCCACUGACGUCAAUGGAGCUGUGUCAGUUUACACUAGCUGAGAAUCUGAUCCCAAGUGUGUUAGUGCCAUUUUUAGAUACUGCCACUGGAAUUCACUUUUGCAGCUCAAUUAAAAAUACAUUCACACACUGCAUUUCUUCCUGUUCCCAAGUGUAUAACUGGAAGCCUGGUGACAGACUGUGGGAGAGGGCAAGUGGGAGAUGGAAGUAGCCAACAACUGUAUCCAUGAGAUAACUCUGCAAUAUGAGUAUUAACACUAUUGUUCUGCUGUCUUCCUUUCAUACAAAUGAGUAUUUGCCUUCAAAAAGUCUUAACUCCACCUUCCAGUAACAAUUCAAUGCCAGCAAAAGAAGAAAGAUUGUUAGCCAUGCAGAGUAUCUACCAUAUAAAUAUGUUAACAUACUGUUUUAAUUAGUGCACAAUCUGAAUUGUUUUAAUGCAUCGUUAGGGAAAUUCUCUAAAAUCAUAAGAAACCCCCAAACCCAAGAUCUGUGUAUUCACUUAAGUAUUCGUUCCUAACUAAUCUGACUGCUGUACAAGCAGCAAGACUGUUAAAAGUACUAAACCAGCUGCUUCAAGUAGCCUGCAAGCCAGACCUGUCUGAUAUGUAUCACUUGUAUUUCAUCGAGCAUUUCUGUGGGAGAGGGAGAAGGAAGAAAGGAAGAGGUGGGGCAGUAAGCAGGGCAGGGCAGUACCUCACAGCUUCAGCCACCGUUCCGAGUAGGGAGAGAAAGCUUUUAUUGUUGUGUUACAUAAGGCAGCUGUUAAGCAUGGCAGUACUGUAUAACAGUUGCAAGUACUAGCCAGUAUGGUUAGUCUUUUGAUUGAAGAUACCAAGGUCAAGAUAGAAAGGCUAACUAAUUAGAACCAAAGAUGCAGUUCACAUAGCAUUGAAGUAAUUGUCUGUUUGUGCAGCACAACACCCGUAUCUUCAAUUUAGGUCAGACCAUCAAGAGGAGGAAAAGGACUGAAGACUGAAGAUGAGAUGCUCUACUUCACACAGUUGCCCUCUGGAAGGACUGGCAAAGAUAGUCACUUAAAUUAAGUACAGGUCAUCAGGCAAGAUAUCUAAUCUAUUCCUAAAACAGGCAGCUCUAGAAGUCCAAAUCCCUAUGGCCUUUACAACAACACAAUGAACUACUUCCUCAUGUACCUCUGUCAAUUCACGUUAGGUUCCAAUUUUUUUAAAAGCGGUAUUUCAUGUACACCAUGACCCUAUUGCUCAUAGCAAGGAAAGUGCUUUGGUUUAUUUAUGACCUACUAACCUUAAAUAAAAAAACCAUACAUUUAAUCUGAAUGUUCACAUAAGCCUUCAGAUCUGAAAUGAAAUUUAAAAUAAAACUGGCAUUUGUAACAGCUAGCUAAGCCCAGUAAGGGAUUAAAAAAAAAAAAUUAAAACCAGAUGAGAGAAGAUGAAAGCAUUUUUACCCUGCAUAACCUGCACACAUCAGGAAUCAGGGCUAGAGCUCAGGAAUACUCUUGUGUUUUUGUACUUACAAGUCUCAGCCCGUUUCAAGAGAGGCUAAGGUAACCAAUGAAAUGCUGAGGGUUUUCGGUUAUGGGGGUGGGGAAGGAAUAAUAAUAAUAACCUGUGAAAGUAAUUCCUUCUAAGAUGCAAUCUGCCUAGCUGCAAGUUCUACGUAGCUCCUAUCCUCCCCUUAUACCCCAUCAUAACUGCCAGGUAUCAGCCAGGCAAGACUCCACAUUGAAAUAUGAAGUGACAGACGGAAGCAGGGUAUAAAAGCACAGGAAUAAAUACUGAAAUAAGUGGCACACAGAAAGAAAACUUGUAAUAGGGAGGACGUUAAAUAUGAGUAACCCUAAACCAUAAACUCUAUUCAUUUGUCUAGAACAAUGUUGAACAGAUGCACAAAAGACUACUGAGUUGGAGAGCCUUAUUCUCUCAUCAUUCAUGGUGGUGUAAGGAACUCCUUUCAUAACAUCCAUGGAAUUAAACUGUGGAAAAGCCAGUACAAAAAAUAAUCAGUCUUCAGAACUACUGUAUUGGCAGCAAACAUCACAUGCUGCUGUGUCGGGGUGGGGCGGGGGGGGAGGGGAGGGGGGAGGUGUGGACUGCCACAUUUGGUUAGAAUUCAGAUAUAUUAAUAAUCACAGUGGCCUUCCUAAACAAAAAACAUCUAUCUAAAGGAGAAAAUUAGUUGAUUCUGUUAUUGCCUAGUUCUCUAAUAAGCUAUAUUAAUGACUCUGUCCUUUAGAUAUAUCUGAUAGAAAAUACGGUUGAGUUAAAUGAUGUAAUAGAUACCUCUACAUGCAGAGCAAUUACGUGAAAGAAACAUCUAGGACAAAGUCCUUGUCAUGGUGUUUGUUCACAAAAUAAAUACAGGCAGCACACUUAUGACCUGCAGUCUUUUGGUGCUGGUUCCAUUUGCACAAGUACAAACAAAUUCAACAAAAAAAACCCCAACAUUUAUAAAGAUUUUUAAAAUAAUCAGAAAUGGAUGAGAGAACAUAAGACAUCUCUUACCAAAGGACAAGGUAAACAACAAUUUAUAGAAGCUAAUGAAUCAGUCAUAUAAUUUCAGCACAGCAAGCUAGGAGUGGACCUAGCAAAAAAGAAUUCAAACCAGCUGAGCUGCAAGACCACCGUUUGCAAGAGAAUUCUUCUCACAAAUACAAUUAAGAAAGAAGCUUGGAAAACUGACAGCUCCAUGCACAAAGACUGAAAUAGGAUGGGCAGAGAAAGGUGUGGUGUCGACAUUUGAGGAUGCUGGCAAGUCAAUGGAGUUCUGUUGUAGUGGUUGCUUCAGUGAACAUUCAACGCUGUCGGCCUUAACACCGAAGAUAGCAACCUAACCACCACAUGAUGUUUCUCUCCCACCCUGGCAAGCUUUACAAAAAAAGGUCACAAUCAACAUUCAUUGCUGUCGGUGGGUUUAACUAUGUGGACAAGCUCACUGAACAAUGAAUGCAACUGUGGCCCCACAUUUUACAGUUGCUGUUGGGAGGAACAUCAGCUCUGAAAGCAGUAGUGAGAAGCAAACACUUCUUAUAAGCCACAUUUUUGUGGUCAGAAAAAUAGUUGGGGAUAUUCACUUUUUGCUUGCUUGUUUGUAGGUGUUUAACUUAGCUGCUUAGAAACAAAAGUAUCACUGCCUUUUUCUGGAAUAUUGUCCUCCCAGGGUUCAGCAUCAUUGAGACCAUAAAAUUCUUAUUCAGUAUGUAUGUGCAAACAAAUAACAAUACAGGAAGUUUUGUGUAUAUCCAUUCCUAAGUUCUCUGCGUGUAAGAGGAAAGAAUAUUUAAAUCUCAUUUUAACUAGUCACUGUGGAAUAGUUUUAAAAAAAAUUCUUCUAUACUUGUCUCAAGAAAAACAAAUGGGAGCCCGAGGUAUGGAUAAAAUGUUUUAUCAAAGAUAAUUUUGCAUCAAACUGAUUUCAAGCAGUUUAAAUAAAUGAUAGUAGACAAUACUAUUACAUUUGCCUUUUUGUAGGCAUCUGAAAGAUCACAGAGAAAUAUAUAUCCAGAAAUAAUAAUGAAUCAGUAGUUAAAUUUUAAAAUUACUGUAAACUUUGGAUACCUGUGUAAAGUUCAGUAUUGCUGGUAGUAAUGAGAAAAUAAAAGUGUAAAUAAAGCUCA